GACGAACGCUGGCGGCGUGCUUAACACAUGCAAGUCGAGCGGUAAGGGCCCUUUCGGGGGUACACGAGCGGCGAACGGGUGAGUAACACGUGGGUGACCUGCCCUUAGCUCUGGGAUAAGCCUGGGAAACUGGGCCUAAUACCGGAUAUGACUCCAUGACGCAUGUUGUGGGGUGGAAAGCCUUGUGCGGCUAGGGGAUGGGCCCGCGGCCUAUCAGCUUGUUGGUGGGGUGAUGGCCUACCAAGGCGACGACGGGUAGCCGGCCUGAGAGGGCGACCGGCCACACUGGGACUGAGACACGGCCCAGACUCCUACGGGAGGCAGCAGUGGGGAAUCUUGCGCAAUGGGCGAAAGCCUGACGCAGCGACGCCGCGUGAGGGAUGACGGCC
rnacentral:rRNA from 1 species